rnacentral:rRNA from 1 species
UGGGGAAUUUUGGACAAUGGGCGCAAGCCUGAUCCAGCAAUGCCGCGUGUGUGAAGAAGGCCUUCGGGUUGUAAAGCACUUUUGUCCGGAAAGAAAUCCGUCUGGCUAAUACCCGGACGGGAUGACGGUACCGGAAGAAUAAGCACCGGCUAACUACGUGCCAGCAGCCGCGGUAAUACGUAGGGUGCGAGCGUUAAUCGGAAUUACUGGGCGUAAAGCGUGCGCAGGCGGCUAUGUAAGACAGAUGUGAAAUCCCCGGGCUCAACCUGGGAACUGCAUUUGUGACUGCAUGGCUAGAGUGCGUCAGAGGGAGGUGGAAUUCCGCGUGUAGCAGUGAAAUGCGUAGAGAU